GAUAGAAAAGGGAGGGAGGCUCAUGACUAAUAUCCGUGAUAGGCUGUGGUGUGUGUGUGUGCGCGUGUGCGCGUGUGUGCGUGCGUGCGUGUGUGUAUCAGCUUUGUGUCAGCAGUGUAUCUGGCCGCUGUAACAAACGAUGUGAGCCGGCUGGGGCAGGAUGGGGCAGGAUGGAGCGAGGGAAUGAGAGGAGGAGGUGUCGGCUAGGGCAGGAUGGAAUGAGAGGAGGAGGUGUCGGCUAGGGCAGGAUGGAGCGAGGGAAUGAGAGGAGGAGGUGUCCGCUAGGGCAGGAUGGAAUGAGAGGAGGAGGUGUCGGCUAGGGCAGGAUGGAAUGAGAGGAGGAGGUGUCGGCUAGGGCAGGAUGGAGCGAGGGAAUGAGAGGAGGAGGUGUCGGCUGGGGCAGGAUGGAGCGAGGGAAUGAGAGGAGGAGGUGUCGGCUGGGGCAGGAUGGAAUUAGAGGAGGAGGUGUCGGCUGGGGCAGGAUGGAGCGAGGGAAUGAGAGGAGGAGGUGUCGGCUGGGGCAGGAUGGAAUUAGAGGAGGAGGUGUCGGCUGGGGCAGGAUGGAGCGAGGGAAUGAGAGGAGGAGGUGUCGGCUGGGGCAGGAUGGAAUUAGAGGAGGAGGUGUCGGCU
ensembl:lncRNA